UACAGAGGUGCCGAGCGUUAGGCGGAAUCACUGGGCUUAAAGCGUGUGUAGGCGGACUUCUAAGUACCUUGUGAAAUCCCACGGCUCAACCGUGGAACUGCUUGGUAUACUGGUUGUCUUGAGCCACUUAGGGGCAGUCGGAACAGACGGUGGAGCGGUGAAAUGCGUAGAUAUCUGGAGGAACACCGGUGGCGAAGGCGGCAUUCUGGACCGACAUUGACGCUGAGGAGCGAAAGCCAGGGGAGCAAACGGG
rnacentral:rRNA from 1 species